rnacentral:misc_RNA from 1 species
UUAAGUUCGGCGGGUCUUCCUACCUGAUCCGAGGUCAACCUUGGGUAAAUAAGGCUUUUUAACGGCCGGAACCCGCAGCACGCCCUGAGCGAGAUGUAUUACUACGCUCGGAGUGACUAGCGAGCCCGCCACUGGUUUUCAGGGCCUGCGGCAGCCGCAGGUCCCCAACACAAGCCGAGGGCUUGAGGGGUGAUAAUGAC